CCCUGACAGGUGCAUCCCGCGCCUGACAUAGCCAAGACAGGAGAUCAACAUG
ncrna:unclassified sequences Mu-gpT-DE RNA